rnacentral:rRNA from 1 species
GUGGGGAAUCUUAGACAAUGGGGGAAACCCUGAUCUAGCCAUGCCGCGUGAGCGAUGAAGGCCUUAGGGUUGUAAAGCUCUUUCAGCUGGGAAGAUAAUGACGGUACCAGCAGAAGAAGCCCCGGCUAACUCCGUGCCAGCAGCCGCGGUAAUACGGAGGGGGCUAGCGUUGUUCGGAAUUACUGGGCGUAAAGCGCGCGUAGGCGGACCAGAAAGUUGGAGGUGACAUCCCAGGGCUCAACCUUGGCACUGCCUUCAAAACUACUGGUCUGGAGUUCGUGAGAGGUGAGUGGAAUUCCGAGUGUAGAGGUGAACUUCGUAGAUAUUCGAAGGAACACCAGUGGCGAAGGCGGCUCACUAGCUGUAUACUGACGCUGAGGAGCGAAAGCGUGGGGAGCAAACAGGAUUAGAUACCCUAGUAGUCC